GGCAUACAAGUGAGAUGUAAGGGUACACCUGCACUGAACGUGACCGACUCCAGAGCUUUUUCUGCUAUCAAGAUUUGCUCCGAUGGGAUAUGGGUAUAACUGUCCCUCCGACCUGAGACCGCCACGGUGACUUGCAAGCAACUCACUGCACUUAGGCACUGGACUACCUGAAUUUCUAAUUCAGUGAUGGAAGGCUGCUGGGUGUAAUCAAGUACUUGACUUGUCGGUGCGUAU
rnacentral:lncRNA from 1 species